AUGGCAGGUGCCAUCAUUAGAGCAAUAGUCUUAGCUCUGUUUCCAUCUGACGAUUCAGGCCCCCCCGGGCCCGCUCCAUCCCAUGCCACUAGUGACCCUCGUCAAGCCUCCCUAAACAAAACAGGUGGCCCCCUGCAGAAGACCCCUGCCCAUUGGCAGGACCUGGAAUUCUUGUCUGAGAGGGUAGAAUUCCCUUUCCUGGCUUCAGAGGGGUUGCCCACCUCUCGACCCUCCCCACCUCCCACCCCACCCCAGGUUCCCCUGCAGACCAGAGCAAAGUCCUUGGAUCUAGCCAUCUUGGGCUCAGAGGCCCCCAGGCCACUGGGCAUGCAGGGUCUGAGGCUGAAGGGGCUUGGAGGGCUCCGGCUGCCCAGUGGGCUCAGGCCCAGAGCCCAGAGCAACCAGCACAAUAGCGUCCAACAGCUGGAAUGCCAGCAGCAGCCCCGGGGAGGCCCGGGAGGAUGGGCCCGAGGGCCUGGACAAAGGGCUGGACAACGAUGCGGAGGGCGUGUGGAGCCCCGACAUCGAGCAGAGCUUCCAGGAGGCCCUGGCAAUCUACCCACCCUGCGGCCGCCGCAAGAUUAUCCUGUCAGACGAGGGCAAGAUGUACGGUCGAAAUGA
rnacentral:lncRNA from 1 species